UACGUAGGUCCCGAGCGUUGUCCGGAUUUAUUGGGCGUAAAGCGAGCGCAGGUGGUUUAUUAAGUCUGGUGUAGAAGGCAGUGGCUCAACCAUUGUAUGCAUUGGAAACUGGUAGACUUGAGUGCAGGAGAGGAGAGUGGAAUUCCAUGUGUAGCGGUGAAAUGCGUAGAUAUAAGGAGGAACACCAGUGGCGAAGGCGGCUUACUGGACGGCAACUGACGCUGAGGCUCGAAAGCGUGGGGAGCAAACAGG
rnacentral:rRNA from 1 species